CCCAAACCAGUUUUCUCCACUGAUUAAACAACAAUAUCAAUGACCACCGUACAAACUUCAACAACAACCAACGCGACAUAAUAGAAGAAAUUUCAACGCGAUAACAGAAACAACGUCAACAGCAGCAACAACCGACAACGACAACAGUAACCCGUAUCAGCAACAUCAAUAACAUUCACAAUUUCAACGCAACAACAGUAAAACAAUUUUGAAAUUCAAAUCUCAACUAAUUUUUCCUUUUUUACCCUUCUGAUUUCCCCCCAAAACAACACCAAAUUCUUAUAUAAAUAUCCACCUAUGUAGAGAGAAAAAGGAGGAGGAUUCUUUGGAGAAAAAUUGAGAAAUCGGGAGGAGCAUUCUUUCAAUCCUACGUAACCGAAGAAUUCGAGAAGAAAGCACUUAAAAGAUUAAUUCCGACGAAAGAAAAAGGAAAAGUAAAAUUUCAACGAUUCGGGAUUGAAAUUUCGGUGGAAUUCGUUCACUUACAGCUCGUUGUCCGGUUCGUUGCUCCGAAAAAGGUGAAAGCUUUUUUCCUAAUCUCAUUCGUAUGACUGAAAAAUUAUGUUAUGAAAUUGUCUGUAUUUAUCACCGUUUUGUCGAUGAAUUAAUUGUCCGUAUGAGAGGAGCAUCCGGAGACUUUAUUAGGAUGAAUUUCGGGAUGAUAUAGUUCCUUUUCUGCCUUAGAGAUGUAGUAGUUCUUUUCUUGGUGUGAAGUAUGUUCAAUAGUUGAUUCUCAAAGAAUUUAAACUUGUGUUAAGAUUUUCUCAAUUUUAUUGUCAUCACUCUAUUAAAUUGAAUAUUUUUGUUUUAAAGUUUGCAAAAGAAAAAAAAAAAAGAAAAGUAAGGUUAUUCAUCAUAAAUUGUUCCGGCGUUAGCUAUAGAUUAGGUUAGCCUAAUUUUAUUUAUUUACUUAUUUAUUUAUUUUUUCGAAGUCGUUUGAUUUCCGAACUAGUAAGAAAGGAAUGUUUCACACACCAAUCUUUGUUUUCCUUACCGUAGCAUUAACAGUGAAAGAAUAUGUUUACUUUGGUGAAUUUCUCUUUGCAGUUCAGUUCAUUUUUCCCAAAAUGUUGAAAAAAAAAAUUAGAAUGAAUUGAAAACUAAGGUUGAGCAGUAGACUAUACUUGAAAGGGAAAUAUUUGAUUCUUUAAGAAAAUUUCCUCUGAGCAUAUUUGCAAUUGCAGAAGAGGUUCUUGAAGGCUUUUAUAUUUGGGAGUUGUGACUCAUCAAAAAGGCAACUUUUUAAUUUUAUGCUAUGGAGAGGCGUGGAUACAUAUGUCUCACAAUAUGGUUGAAGUUAUUUAGUUUUUGACUAUAUUGCUCAUUAGAUGUUAAAAAAAAAAAAGAAACUAUAAUAUGCUUACGUGCUAGUUUGAAUAUUCAUUCCAUAAUCUUUUGAUUUUUUUAUUUAUUUUUUGCAUGAACUCGUUGAGUCCUUUUGGACUUCUUCCUUACAUCCUCAUUUGGUCCAACCCAUCGAGUCAAAACCUCAAGUCCAAGUCCCAAGAGGACUGUUUUUGCAUUAGUAUACAACGAUAUACGCAUCAGGGAGUUGGUAUAUGCUGAUAUGCAGUAAAUAUACAUUGGAAGCAGCAGCUGCACAUCAUCACACGAUUUUGUGAUGAAAAAUGGAGGGAAAAUAAGCAGUAUUUGACACUGAUAUACACUGCAUAUACAGUGAUAUACACAAAAACGUCGAGACUUAAGCUGCUGAUAUACAACUGGUAUACACUUUAAAAAAUGGACCCAAGUCCAUAAGAAUAAGGUCCAAAAGCUGGACAGCUUGCUAAGGGGACAAUAAAGGCCCAAAUCCUAAACUUUUGUUCCUUUUUUCCUUGUAUGUUAUUGUUGUUUAUAUGUACUAACUCUAAUUUUAUUUACUUAAACUAAGUAAUUCCUUAAAUUGUCGUCAUUAUAUUGUAUCUUGAUUUUGUUACUUAACCUAUAAUUUUGUCACAGAAUUUUACAUUAUCUAAAACGAAUUAAAUUGAUUCCUUCAAUUUUCUCUUUAAAACAAGUCAUUAAAGAUCAAGUAUUUUGUUCCGAAAUGACAUUCAUUAUAUUCAUAUAACUAAAUAGUUUAUAUGAAUUAAAAUAACUUCCUUUUAAACUUAAGAAACUAAAUUUUCUUAUAAAUUUCAACUUUUCAUAAUUAAUAAAGGUUUUUAAUUCAACACUCUCUUAACAUUUUUCCGAAGGUAUUAUCUAUAAUAUGAUCAACUUUUUCUAUAAAUAUUAAUAAUAAGAAAAUAAUUUCAUAAUUUUCUUCUUUUACGAAAUUAAAAUCCAUUUUCCUUUUAAGUCCAAAAAUUGCAAUUUAGUUUAAUUUAGGUGGAAUAUUUCUUGUCUAAAUGAAUAAAUGUUAUUUUAAAUAUGUUUAAAUAAAUAAUUUUAAUAUUUUCUAUAAAAUCAAGUCUUUAUGAAAAUUAGUCACUUUUAAUUAGUUAGAUUAGUUCUUUUUGGUAAACUGUUUUAAACAGACGCAUCUAAGUGCCUUAAAAACUUUCUUAGGGCGUUAAUUGAACUCUUACCUUCUUAGGGCGUUAAUUGAACUCUUACCCAGUUUCUUUAGUUUUAAAGGUUUAUUUCUGUUUUUGAACCUUUAAAACUCUUUUAAAUUUUUUCUUGAUUUUUUUCUAUAAAAAUCAAGUGGCGACUUUGUGAAUUUUCUUAAGAUUAUUUCGGAAUUUUCUUGAAUUUUUUAAAUAGAAGGUCAAAAUUAUUUUCUCGCCAAAAGAAAUUCGAAAAGGAUAAAAUAAAAUUAAGGACCCCUAAAAUAUGGAAAGAACCCUGAUAAAAUAAAUAUAAGAAAAGAAACUAAGAAUCCUAAACUACUUAAAAUAUAUGAAUUCUAAAAUAUAUAUAUGGAUCCUAAAAUAUAUGGAAAGAAAUUAACAAUUCUAAAAUAUAUGUAAAGAAUUACAUUUUACUUUAGUUAAAUAUGUGGGCUUGACAUAUUCUCUACAUUCCAACUCCUUAAUUCAAAUUCUCUUUUACCUUUUAAUGUUUUUUUUUUUUUCAAAUAUGAACUUUUUUCUAUGGGGGAUUUUAAGCUUAUUGAUGCCUUUUUUUUUGUUGUUUAAAUUUACCUUCAAAAUAAGUCUAUAUUCUUUUGUUGUUGGUUUAAAUUAGACUUAUUAAAAUUGAAUAUUCUUUAACUUUUAAGAUGGUCUUUUUUCAUAAUCUUAAAUUAUUAUGUCCGUAAACAAAUCACUAUUGAUUGAUUCUUUAAUAUGUUUGUGCAGAUGAAGAAAGAUUUGUGUAAAACGUGCGAACGGAAUUUAAUGUCGAUUACAAGUGAAUUUAAAGUAUGCUUUUCCUGUUCUAAAUUUUAUUUCUUAUUCAUGUUAGUUAUAUUUCUUAUUAAGGCGAAUUCAAGUUAAUACUCUUUCGUUAAAAUCAUACUUACAUAAAAAACUAUUGAGAAAAAAAUAAAGUAAAAAUUGUGAUUUGUCAUGAUAACAAACAAAUCAUAGUGUCAAACAAGUAUCAAAUAAAGUCAUUAGUUGGCUAGAAGAUAAAACAAAAUUGAGAUUAGAGAUUUCAUAAGUUAGCAAACCAAAUUUAUAAUCUAUUUCAUUCUUCCAUUAGGUUCGUAGAGAUGGACGCUAGGGAUAAUUUGCAUCACUCGAUUUAUGUUUUGUGUCGUCAUUAAGACUCUAAAAUAUAUUUUUUCUUUCAAAUUAUAAUAUUAAAUAAUUGAUAUUUCAACGUAUUUUUUUUUUCAAUCUUUUGUUCAAGGCUUUUCUCUAUCAAGAAAUUAGCAUUAAGUGACUUUAAAUGAAUCUGAUUCAUAAUAGUGGAAUUUUUUAAGGCGGGUCAAGUAUAUUGUUCGAUAUAAAUAAUAGUAAUUUUGUUUGUUAUAUACACUUAUUAUAUAAAAAAGUUAUUUGAACAUUUAAACUUUUUUCCCUUCAUUAAAUUCUCUGUAGCAGAUAAAAUUAUCUUUUUACUUAUUUUUUGAAAUUAUUAUUUAAUUAUUAAAAAAUUAAAGAAUCUUAGUACAUAUGGUAGAAGAGAAUAAUAUAGAGAUUAAUGUUUGUAGGUUUACGUUUUCCUUAUGUACGUGAAAAAGAAAUUAAUAACAUAUAUAGUAAGAGAAAAGUCCUAACAGAAAAUAAGACGAAAGUACGAUAGAAUUUUUUUUCCAAACUAAUGUUGGUAAGUUUAAUGUUAGGACUAAAUAAUUUAUUACUAAUUUGAACUUUUUGCACUUCACUAAAAAUUUUCACAAUAGACAAAAUCGUCUAAUUUUAAAUAAUCAAAAGUUACAUGUGCG
rnacentral:lncRNA from 1 species